GAUGAUGUGACUAGUGGCGGACGGGUGAGUAACGCGUGGGGAACCGUGCCUCGUGCUGGGGGAGUAACAGUUAGAAAUGACUGCUAAUACCGCAUAAGCGCACAGUAAGGCAUCUUACAGUGUGAAAAGAUUUAUCGGCAUGAGAUGGACCCGCGUCUGAUUAGGUAGUUGGCGGGGUAACGGCCCACCAAGCCGCGAUCAGUAGCCGACUUGAGAGAGUGAUCGGCCACAUUGGGACUGAGACACGGCCCAGACUCCUACGGGAGGCAGCAGUAGGGAAUAUUGCACAAUGGGGGAAACCCUGAUGCAGCGACGCCGCGUGAGUGAUGAAGUAUUUCGGUACGUAAAACUCUAUCAGCAGGGAAGAUAAUGACGGUACCUGACUAAGAAGCCCCGGCUAACUACGUGCCAGCCGCUGC
rnacentral:rRNA from 1 species